rnacentral:misc_RNA from 1 species
UGGCUCUAGCAUCGAUGAAGAACGCAGCGAAACGCGAUAAGUAGUGUGAAUUGCAGAAUUCAGUGAAUCAUCGAAUCUUUGAACGCACAUGGCGCCCCCCAGUAUCCUGGGGGGCAUGCCUGUCCGAGCGUCGUUUCAACCCUCGGGCCCCAGUGGCCCGGCGUUGGGGAUCCACGCCCUGUGGUCCCCCAAAUCCAGUGGCGGUCCGCGGCGGACUCUCCUUGCGUAGUAAUUUCUCCUCGCAUCGAAGACGCAGCGGCCACCGGCCUCUAAACCCCCAGCAAGCCCGCCCAGCGCGGCAAGGUUGACCUCGGAUCAGGUAGGAAUACCCGCUGA